UACGUAGGGGGCAAGCGUUGUCCGGAUUUAUUGGGCGUAAAGAGCGUGUAGGCGGCCAUACAGGUCCGUUGUGAAAACUGGAGGCUUAACCUCCAGACGUCGAUGGAAACCGUAUGGCUAGAGUCCGGAAGAGGAGAGUGGAAUUCCUGGUGUAGCGGUGAAAUGCGCAGAUAUCAGGAGGAACACCAGUGGCGAAGGCGGUGGUCUGGGCCGGAACUGACGCUGUAGAGCGAAAGCGUGGGGAGCGAACAGG
rnacentral:rRNA from 1 species